rnacentral:rRNA from 1 species
GACGAACCGAGCGAACGUUAUUCGGAAUCACUGGGCUUAAAGGGCGCGUAGGCGGGCGGCAAAGUCCGUGGUGAAAUCCUCCAGCUUAACUGGAGAACUGCCGUGGAUACUGGUCGUCUCGAGGAAGGUAGGGGCAUCUGGAACUGGUGGUGGAGCGGUGAAAUGCGUUGAUAUCAUCAGGAACUCCGGUGGCGAAGGCGAGAUGCUGGACCUUUUCUGACGCUGAGGCGCGAAAGCCAGGGGAGCAAAC